rnacentral:rRNA from 1 species
CGCGUAGGCGGGGAUCCAAGUCAGGGGUGAAAUCCCACGGCUCAACCGUGGAAGUGCCUCUGAUACUGGGUGCCUAGAGGGGUGCAGGGGCAUGCGGAACUCAGGGUGGAGCGGUGAAAUGCGUAGAUAUCCUGAGGAACACCGGUGGCGAAAGCGGCGUGCUGGACACCUACUGACGCUGAGGCGCGAAAGCCAGGGGAGCAAACGGGAUUAGAUACCCCGGUAGUCCUGGCCCUAAACGAUGGGUACUGGGUAGCGGCCUUGCAUGGGGUCGCUGCCGAAGCAAAAGUGUUAAGUACCCCGCCUGGGGAGUAUGGUCGCAAGGCUGAA